AAAAAAGAAAUUGUUGUCCAUCUAUUAUCACCUUAUGAAACGAAAGAAACUUUUCGGACAACCUAAUAGCAAAAUAACUAGAAACUAAAAGCAGAGAAGAGCAUCUAAUUUAUAUUAAAUAUGCCAGUGUAUAUCCGUGGACUAAAUAAGUUUUUGGUGACUUUAUGGAUUAUGGAUAUUCAAAGUUACAACGCAUAAUUUUACUGUGAAAUAUUAAUUAUAUUGAAUCUGUAAACAUUCAUUAGCCACAGAAAUAGGAUUUAGUAUAUUCGUAUUGCGUGAACGUAUCGUAUGUAUGUAUUCAUUGGCCCAAGAAAAUGGAAUUAGUUUGCACAUAUAGGCGUGGUUGAUGAGAUUGGAAUAGUUCAUUUCAACGAUAUGUUCGUCAACAGUAUGCUACAUUUUUUAUUAUUGAGGUUGAGGUCGACUGAUUGAAGAACGAGUGAAUAAAUCUGUAAUGGAAAAGUAUAUUGAAAUAACUAAAGGUAUAAGUUUAUGCUGAUUCAGAUCCUUACUCUCUUAGUGUUACUAGACAAUGGAAUCGAUCGCUCAUAUAUUUAUAUCAAAAGGACAUUACCAAAAAAGUUAACCCUGUAGCAUUAGCUAGAGGCUACAGAGAACAUAAAUAGAAAUUUGUUUGUUAGUUCUUUUGCUCCUAGACCUUGCAAACCAAAACAUAAUGUAUAUUCAAGGGUACAAUGAUAUGCACCUCUCCUUAUUUAGAAUAUUUCUGAAUAAUAGCAGUCUGCAGGUCAUGUAUGUACAUAAAUAAAGAUGUAGAGUUUUUCUUGAAGUAGUUACUUCAACAUUUAUGAUGGAAAAAAUUAAGCCUACCGAGAGAAUAUGAAACGAAUGUUCGCUGAAAGUUGCUACUUACAGAUUUAUAUCGUAGAUCAAUGAAACUGGUGAUAUAAAACGAGUAUCUCCAAGAGCUGAAAUUCAAAUGCAUUCUAGGGAAAAUAACCGUGCCGAUGAAGUGUGGAAUUCAAGGAAUGCAAUAAGAAUCGAAAGCAACUGAUCAUAAAUCACUGUUUCGUACGAACGUGUAAUCUGCUAGAACUUCAACGAGAUUACACAGGGGGCUAAUAAAUGACGACUUAAAAAACACUCGAUUUGUUUCCUUAAUUUAAGUUAGAAAUCAGAAAAUUGCAAGAAAUUCCUGUUAAAUUUAUUUUAGAAAGUUCUCUAUCAUUGAGCACAGAAAAAUUACGAACUAUGGAGACAAAAACUUCGCAUCUUUAAAUGGAAAUAAUAAGAACAACUGAUCUGAUAACUGUACUGGCAAUCCAUUAACAGCUAGCAUAUUAGAAAGAGGGUUGGCCAUUAAACACAGUAGCCAAAGAGAAAUAUCCAGAGAUUCGUAAUAAAACAAUAUUAGAUUAAAAAGUAUAUCAAUCUUCAAUCAUCAGUUGGCACGUACUAAUCUAUACUAUCUAAAAUAUAUUCAAUCUUAGUUGGAACAUUCUAUUCCAUCUAAUACCAUCGUCCGGAUAUCGUUUAUCUUGAUACUCUUAAUGUUACAAAACUAAAUGAGAAACCGAAUGAACGCUGGUAACCUGUAAAAGAUUGAAAGAAUUCAUUCUUAAAAAAAAAAAAAAUACAAAUUAUAACGUUACUUAGAUUAUAAUAAAACGUCGUAAAGAAUUGUAAUUGAUUUCACAAAGAUAGCUCUCGCAUAUUUCUUAUAUUUUACUGCGAAACUUUCGAACAGAUAUUUUGUAUCGAAUUCAAUUGUGAAUUAAAAGUAUACGAAACCACCGUUCGAUCGGCGAAGAACGACUAGCAAUAUCGAAUUUGAUUUGGUACACAAAGCGUACAAGUACCCAUAGAAAUCCAUCAAAUGUAAAAUCAGCUGGUUGCAUCAUGCCGCCUCCGCCGCUGGUGCAUCAGGAGGAAAAAAUUCUUUUAAAACUAGUCAUAGCGCAUACAUAUCCCGCAGAAACGAUCGUGUGUUCGAUGUGUAGAAGAUAUCGAUGAUGCAACGAUGCAUUUCCAAGGUAUCUCAACCGAGGACGCCAUUACUGUAAAAUCGAAAAUACCCGGUUCGUCGUAAAAUUCAAAUAAGCGUACCCGGUCGAAAGUGGUUCGGUUGCGUGGUAAAACGUAGCAUUUAUUUCGAUAAAAUCGCGAAACGAGCGACCGGAAACCAUCGGGUGUUAAUAACCUUGGCCUGUGAAAUCGAGCUGCUGAAAAAUUUACUUGCAACGUGUGUUUGUUACAAAGAUAGAGUUUAACGCUUCGAGCGUGCCAGCUAGAAAUAAGCUGCGAUCCAAGUUCCACGGGAAUGGUUUAAUAUCAAUCUAUUCUUGACUACAAUACCUUUUUUCAUGAGACACUUGCUACGUGCUUGGUGUUUCUAGUCAGCUGGUUUGGAAUUUGUAAUAUAGGGUAGUGAUCUUCUUUUCUUUUUCUUGUUUUUUCUUGUUCUCAAUUAAUUAGGUACAGUCGUAUCAUUCGCUAUAGCGACGACUCACAUGCACAUUGGCGACUCACAAUCAGUCGAAAUCAUCGGUUGAAUUUCUAUAUUUGGAAGGGGGUGGUAUGUUUCAGAUUACUAAAAACUUUAGCAAUUGUAGGAUUUUGUAUAGAUUUUUAUAAUUAGGGGAAAAAUGAAUAUUAAAGUGUAAUCUAGCAGUGGAAAAUUCGUUAUAAUGUAAAAUGAGAUACGGCCCAUGGUUUUCUAUUAAGAAAUGGAUUAAAAUUAAAUUAAAUCGCCUUUAGAGGGAAUUUGGAGAUCUAUUUUCAUAAAAAUUAUCUUUCAUAGUUAGCGACACAUGAGAGAAGUAAAUCAGGAUAUUAAUAAGUAGAUAAUAAGCAACAAUGUUUGAAAUUAUAAUAUCAUAGCAGACGUAGAAAUAAUAUAUUAAAAAUAUAUAAACAGUAGGAACACACAGUGUUCAAUAAUCAUGCAACAAUUGUAAAAUGCAAUGUCUAAUCCCUUAUUUUCCUUAUUAUUGACGUAGAGUGAUCAAUAUCCAUCUUGUUUAAACGUUUUGAAAAUGCAUAAUGUAUCAACGUAGCAAUAAAUCAAGACCUGUCGGUUUACGUAUAUCGAAGAGAUUAUAUUCAGAAAAUUUAUGGCUAGGUAUUAAAGGUAAUUUACUGCAUUUAGUCAGUAACUUUUCUUACACGAUUAUUCUUGGAAUAGAUGUUAAAAUGUAUUAGGAUAUUGUUGGUAUCUUGCAUAUUAUUAUUAUAGAAAAAUGACAUACCAUGCUAAACGAAAGGUGAAAUAAUAAUAUAUGAAAAUGACUAACAAGAUAUUACGUUUAAUCUGUAAAAAAAUCUUAUACCGUUACGUAUUGUACAUACUUUGAUUCGCUAACGGUUCAUACUACUGUGUCCGUGUAUAAUUUGCUCAAUCUACUAGCCAACGUUAGGUUAGAGGAGCAAGCUGGAUGAAAUGAAUUAUACUUCUCGUCUCCUUUUUAUGUAAAAUUUCAAUUAUAAAGUAACUUUUUGUAAAUAAAUUAUUUGCACAUUUCAAUCUAUAGAAAAUACGCUUCAUAUAAUUCUUU